rnacentral:rRNA from 1 species
UAAGUAAGCGGAGGAGAAGAAACUAAAUAGGAUUCCUUCAGUAAUGGCGAAUGAACAGGGAUCGGCUCAGCAUGGAAAUUGGGGCCCCUGGCCCUGAAUUGUAGUCUCAAGAUGUACUGCCAACGGAGGCGCAGAUGUAAGCCUCUUGGAAAAGAGCAUCAGCGAGGGUGACAAUCCCGCUUGCCAUCUGCAGCCCCCCGUGCACGGUGUACCUUCUAAGAGUCACGUUCCUCGGGAUUGGAGCGCAAAGUGGGUGGUAAAUUUCAUCUACAGCUAAAUACUGGUUCGAGACCGAUAGCAAACAAGUACCAUGAGGGAAAGGUGAAAAAGGACUUUGAAAAGAGAGUUAGAAGUGCCUGAACUUGCUGAAAGGGAAGCGAAUGGAACCAGUGUUGCUUGGCAAGAUUGCUGUGCACCACUGUGAGGGUCUGCUAUGCUAGCGCAAGUGGUGUGGUAGACUUUGAGCAGGACCUGCACGGUGUUUCUUGCCUUGUGUGUCAGCGUCAGUUCGCGCUUGGGGAAGACGUCAAGGACAUGGUAGCCUGCCCACGGGCAUGUGAACGUGCUUGCUCGAACUCAUGCGGAACUGCACGGUGACGAAAUAGGAUCCUUUCGACCCG